rnacentral:rRNA from 1 species
GACGAACCGUGCGAACGUUAUUCGGAAUCACUGGGCUUAAAGCGCGUGUAGGCGGGGUGGCACGUCGGUCGCUGAGAGCCCCCGGCUCAACCGGGGAAGGGGCGCCGAUACGACCACCCUGGAGGGACGUAGGGGGACCUGGAACUUCCGGUGGAGCGGUGAAAUGCGUUGAGAUCGGAAGGAACGCCCGUGGCGAAAGCGGUUCUCUGGGACGGUACUGACGCUGAGACGCGAAAGCGUGGGGAGCGAACAGG